rnacentral:rRNA from 1 species
GCCUGGGAAACUGGUUUUAAUCCCGGAUAGGAGCGUCCACCGCAUGGUGGGUGUUGGAACGAUUUAUCGGUUUUGGAUGGACUCGCGGCCCUAUCAGCUUGUUGGUGAGGUAAUGGCUCACCAAGGCGACGACGGGUAGCCGGCCUGAGAGGGUGACCGGCCACACUGGGACUGAGACACGGCCCAGACUCCUACGGGAGGCAGCAGUGGGGAAUAUUGCACAAUGGGCGAAAGCCUGAUGCAGCGACGCCGCGUGAGGGAUGACGGCCUUCGGGUUGUAAACCUCUUUCAGUAGGGAAGAAGCGAAAGUGACGGUACCUGCAGAAGAAGCACCGGCUAACUACGUGCCAGCAGCCGCGGUAAUACGUAGGGUGCGAGCGUUAUCCGGAAUUAUUGGGCGUAAAGAGCUCGUAGGCGGUUUGUCGCGUCUGUCGUGAAAGUCCGGGGCUUAACCCCGGAUCUGCGGUGGGUACGGGCAGACUAGAGUGCAGUAGGGGAGACUGGAAUUCCUGGUGUAGCGGUGGAAUGCGCAGAUAUCAGGAGGAACACCGAUGGCGAAGGCAGGUCUCUGGGCUGUAACUGACGCUGAGGAGCGAAAGCAUGGGGAGCGAACAGGAUUAGAUACCCUGGUAGUCCAUGCCGUAAACGUUGGGCACUAGGUGUGGGGACCAUUCCACGGUUUCCGCGCCGCAGCUAACGCAUUAAGUGCCCCGCCUGGGGAGUACGGCCGCAAGGCUAAAACUCAAAGGAAUUGACGGGGGCCCGCACAAGCGGCGGAGCAUGCGGAUUAAUUCGAUGCAACGCGAAGAACCUUACCAAGGCUUGACAUGUUCUCGAUCGCCGUAGAGAUACGGUUUCCCCUUUGGGGCGGGUUCACAGGUGGUGCAUGGUUGUCGUCAGCUCGUGUCGUGAGAUGUUGGGUUAAGUCCCGCAACGAGCGCAACCCUCGUUCCAUGUUGCCAGCACGUAAUGGUGGGGACUCAUGGGAGACUGCCGGGGUCAACUCGGAGGAAGGUGAGGACGACGUCAAAUCAUCAUGCCCCUUAUGUCUUGGGCUUCACGCAUGCUACAAUGGCCGGUACAAUGGGUUGCGAUACUGUGAGGUGGAGCUAAUCCCAAAAAGCCGGUCUCAGUUCGGAUUGGGGUCUGCAACUCGACCCCAUGAAGUCGGAGUCGCUAGUAAUCGCA